rnacentral:lncRNA from 1 species
AAAGAAGUACGCACGAGAGGUGAUGGCGGUGGAGGUACUACAAACGGACUUUAUCCCCGACGUCGGCCUCACCUUCACGAAAGCCGACCUCUAGGAUGUCAUACCUCACGAUAAUGAUCUGGUGGUAAUCUCGCUAGUCACAGCUGGGAGGAGGGUGCGUCGUGUCCUUGUAGACCAAGGAAGUUCGACAGAUGUUAUGUUCCUGACAACCUUCAACCGUUUGCUGCUAUCCACGAACCAAUUAAAGCCCUACACCGGAUGUUUGUAUGGUUUUGCAGGAGACGAGGUGGAGGUUCGCGGGCACAUCGAGUUGAGGACAACAUUCACAAAUGGCACGUCUUCACGCAUUACAAGUAUCAGGUACCUCGUCGUUAACGCUCCAUCGGCUUAUAACAUACUGUUGGGGAG